AUUGAACGCUGGCGGCAUGCUUUACACAUGCAAGUCGAACGGUAACAGGUCUUCGGAUGCUGACGAGUGGCGAACGGGUGAGUAAUGCAUCGGAACGUGCCCAGUCGUGGGGGAUAACGCAGCGAAAGCUGUGCUAAUACCGCAUACGAUCUAUGGAUGAAAGCGGGGGAUCGCAAGACCUCGCGCGAUUGGAGCGGCCGAUGUCAGAUUAGCUAGUUGGUGGGGUAAAGGCCCACCAAGGCGACGAUCUGUAGCUGGUCUGAGAGGACGACCAGCCACACUGGGACUGAGACACGGCCCAGACUCCUACGGGAGGCAGCAGCGGGGAAUUUUGGACAAUGGGCGCAAGCCUGAUCCAGCAAUGCCGCGUGCAGGAAGAAGGCCUCGGUUGUAACUGCUUUGUACGGUAACGAAAAGGUACUGGGUUAAUAACCCUGGGCGUCAUGACGGUACCGUAAGAAUAAGAC
rnacentral:rRNA from 1 species